GUUUAGGUAGUUUAAUUAAAAAUUUAAGUUUGUGGAUCUUAUGAUGAAUUUAUUUCCUUAAAUC
rnacentral:tRNA from 1 species